UACGAAGGGGGCUAGCGUUGCUCGGAAUCACUGGGCGUAAAGCGCACGUAGGCGGAUUGUUAAGUCAGGGGGGAAAUCCUGGAGCUCAACUCCAGAACUGCCUUUGAUACUGGCGAUCUUGAGUCCGGGAGAGGUGAGUGGAACUGCGAGUGUAGAGGUGAAAUUCGUAGAUAUUCGCAAGAACACCAGUGGCGAAGGCGGCUCACUGGCCCGGUACUGACGCUGAGGUGCGAAAGCGUGGGGAGCGAACAGG
rnacentral:rRNA from 1 species